CACCGCGGUUAUACGAGAGGCCCAAGCUGAUAGUUAUCGGCGUAAAGAGUGGUUAAGAAACAUUUAAAUUAAAGCCGAACGCCUUUAAGGCUGUUAUAAGCACCCAAAGGCAGGAAGCCCUAUCACGAAAGUGGCUUUAUAAUAUCUGAACCCACGAAAGCCAGGGGA
rnacentral:rRNA from 1 species